UCAGAGUCAAAAGUCCCAUCCCGAGGCCAACCAACAUUAAACGUUGGCCACUCGGAGGAACAAAAGGUUAUCCAUUGGUGCUUCUUGAUCUCCACAGAUUGAUUGUGAGCUCGGCUCUUAACUUCUCUCCAGUGAUCUAGAGUUAAACUCAGGGGGGUGGUUAGGUGUUGUCCCAUUUUGGGGUAUUCUAAAAUCACAAUGAAACAGACAAACAACA